GAUGAAGAAGUAGCGAAAUGCGAUAAGUAAUGUGAAUUGCAGAAUUCAGUGAAUCAUCGAAUCUUUGAACGCACAUUGCGCCCCUUGGUAUUCCGAGGGACAUGCCUGUUCGAGCGUCAUUAUAACCCCUCAAGCUCAGCUUGGUGUUGGGGCCUGCUGCACUGGCAGCCCUUAAAAUCAGUGGCGGCGCCAUCUGGCUCUAAGCGUAGUAAUUCUUCUCGCUAUGGAGUCCUGGUGGAUGCUUGCCAUCAACCCCCAAUUUUUCUAUGGUUGACCUCGGAUCAGGUAGGGAUACCCGCUGAACUUAAGCAUAUCAAUAAGCGGAGGA
rnacentral:misc_RNA from 1 species